AUUCAAUUUUAUUUUCAUCCUACUCCCUAAGACCUUUUCCAACCAGCUCCCUCCCACCCCAGUCUCCAACCAUUGCUAUUCAAAAUUCAAAUUUCAAAGAUGAAGUCGCCAUGGAAAUGACAGUUUCUCACGCCAGCAAGUGUUUUUGGUAAAAGAAACCAUUACCUCUGCGAAGCUAUUAGAAUGGAAACAUUUUACCUUUAUUAUGAAAAAGAAAAUAUGUAAAGGAGUGUUUGCUUCGGAAUCUGUUCAUUAUUUACUGGUUAUACGUAACGUUGGUUUAGUAAGAAAACUGGAAAGGACUCAUUCUACUUCUCAGUAACGGGAUAUUAUUGUUGUUAUUGUUGGUGGACAGUGAUUUUAUUUGUCAAAUUUGUCAGCAACUGCAAACCCUUAAAAAGGUAUUUCUAUAGGAUCACAUAAUGUUGUAAAGAAUGCCAAGUAUGAAAUGAUAUCACGUGAUCUUACUUUAUGCAACGGCUCUCCAUCAGAUUAUUCACAGCGACUGCAAGAAAGGAAGUUUUCCAAAUGAACAUUGCAUCUUUAAGUUUACAAUGCAUUAUGCAAAUCAAAGCGUCUUUAGGUGUGCAGGUAUAGCGUCUCGAUCCAAGACACGGCUAUAGCUGCAAAGACUGGAUCCAAACAUGAACUUGGUGCUAGAUACAUCAUAGUAAGUAUCGUCCAUACAACUGUAUGAUGUACUCUUUAUCAACAAUACAUACCAUAAAGU